AUACGGAGGAUGCGAGCGUUAUCCGGAUUUAUUGGGUUUAAAGGGAGCGUAGGUGGGAUAUUAAGUCAGCUGUGAAAGUUUGGGGCUCAACCUUAAAAUUGCAGUUGAUACUGGUUUCCUUGAGUACGGUACAGGUGGGCGGAAUUCGUGGUGUAGCGGUGAAAUGCUUAGAUAUCACGAAGAACUCCGAUCGCGAAGGCAGCUCACCGGGCCGGAACUGACACUGAUGCUCGAAAGUGCGGGUAUCAAACAGGAUUAGAUACCCUGGUAGUCCGCACAGUAAACGAUGAAUACUCGCUGUUUGCGAUACACUGUAAGCGGCCAAGCGAAAGCGUUAAGUAUUCCACCUGGGGAGUACGCCAGCAACGGUGAAACUCAAAUGAAUUGACGGGG
rnacentral:rRNA from 1 species